rnacentral:rRNA from 1 species
CAGUCGCCGCGGGAAUACAGAGGGUGCGAGCGUUAAUCGGAUUUACUGGGCGUAAAGCGUGCGUAGGCGGCUAAUUGAGUCGGAUGUGAAAUCCCCGAGCUUAACUUGGGAAUUGCAUUCGAUACUGGUUAGCUAGAGUGUGGGAGAGGAUGGUAGAAUUCCAGGUGUAGCGGUGAAAUGCGUAGAGAUCUGGAGGAAUACCGAUGGCGAAGGCAGCCAUCUGGCCUAACACUGACGCUGAGGUACGAAAGCAUGGGGAGCAAACAGGAUUAGAGACCCCCGUAGUCCCUGUCUCUUAUAC